rnacentral:rRNA from 1 species
UGGGGAAUUUUGGACAAUGGGCGAAAGCCUGAUCCAGCAAUGCCGCGUGUGUGAAGAAGGCCUUCGGGUUGUAAAGCACUUUUGUCCGGAAAGAAAUCCUUGGCUCUAAUACAGUCGGGGGAUGACGGUACCGGAAGAAUAAGCACCGGCUAACUACGUGCCAGCAGCCGCGGUAAUACGUAGGGUGCAAGCGUUAAUCGGAAUUACUGGGCGUAAAGCGUGCGCAGGCGGUUUGCUAAGACCGAUGUGAAAUCCCCGGGCUCAACCUGGGAACUGCAUUGGUGACUGGCAGGCUAGAGUAUGGCAGAGGGGGGUAGAAUUCCACGUGUAGCAGUGAAAUGCGUAGAGAUGUGGAGGAAUACCGAUGGCGAAGGCAGCCCCCUGGGCCAAUACUGACGCUCAUGCACGAAAGCGUGGGGGAGCAAAACAGGAUUAGAUACCCCUGGGUAGUCCACGCCCUAAAACGAUGUCAACUAGUUGUUGGGGAUUCAUUUCCUUAGUAACGUAGCUAACGCGUGAAGUUGACCGCCUGGGGAGUACGGUCGCAAGAUUAAAACUCAAAGGAAUUGACGGGGUCAUA